rnacentral:rRNA from 1 species
GAUGAACGCUAGCUACAGGCUUAACACAUGCAAGUCGAGGGGCAGCAUUUUUAUAGCAAUAUAAAAGAUGGCGACCGGCGCACGGGUGAGUAACACGUAUCCAACCUGCCGAUAACUCGGGGAUAACCCUUCGAAAGAAGGCCUAAUACCCGAUGGCAUAUCCCUUCCGCCUGGUUGGGAUAUUAAAGAACUUCGGUUAUCGAUGGGGAUGCGUUCCAUUAGCUGGUUGGUGUGGUAACGGCUCACCAAGGCUACGAUCGGUAGGGGUUCUGAGAGGAAGGUCCCCCACACUGGAACUGAGACACGGUCCAG